GUUUUUUCCCCUAGCUGUGAAAAAGAAAGAGAAAAAGUCUAAGACCAGCGAAAAGAAAGAGAGCAAAGAGAGCAAUGUUGUGAAGAAUGUGGUAGACUCUAGUCAAAAACCUGCCCCAUCAACAAGAGAGGAUCCUGCCCCAAAGAAAAGCAGUAGUGAGCCUCCUCCACGAAAGCCCAUUGAGGAAAAGAGUGAAGAAGGGAAUGCCUCUGCCCCUGGGCCUGAAUCUAAACAAGUCACCACUCCAGCUUCCAGGAAGUCCAGCAAGCAGGUCUCCCAGCCAGCACCAGUCAUCCCCCCACAGCCACCUAGCACAGGACCACCAAGAAAAGAAGUUCCCAAGACCACUCCUAGUGAGCCCAAGAAAAAGCAGCCUCCACCACCAGAAUCAGGUUCAGAGCAAAGCAAGCAGAAAAAAGUGGCUCCCCGCCCAAGUAUCCCUGUAAAACAAAAACCAAAAGAAAAGG